rnacentral:rRNA from 1 species
UACGUAGGGUGCAAGCGUUAAUCGGAAUUACUGGGCGUAAAGCGUGCGCAGGCGGCUUUGCAAGACAGAUGUGAAAUCCCCGGGCUUAACCUGGGAACUGCAUUUGUGACUGCACGGCUAGAGUGUGUCAGAGGGGGGUAGAAUUCCACGUGUAGCAGUGAAAUGCGUAGAUAUGUGGAGGAAUACCGAUGGCGAAGGCAGCCCCCUGGGAUAACACUGACGCUCAUGCACGAAAGCGUGGGGAGCAAACAGG